UUCUGCUGGCUAUUUAGUAGC
ensembl:piRNA 21ur-6560 ncRNA